rnacentral:rRNA from 1 species
CAGCAGCCGCGGGAAUACGAGGGGGGCAAGCGUUGUUCGGAAUUAUUGGGCGUAAAGGGCGCGUAGGCGGUUUGGCAAGUUUGGUGUGAAAUCUUCGGGCUCAACUCGAAGUCUGCAUCGAAAACUGCCGGGCUUGAGUAUGGGAGAGGUGAGUGGAAUUUCCGGUGUAGCGGUGAAAUGCGUAGAUAUCGGAAGGAACACCUGUGGCGAAAGCGGCUCACUGGACCAUUACUGACGCUGAGGCGCGAAAGCUAGGGGAGCAAACAGGAUUAGAUACCCGGGUAGUCCCUGUCUCUUAUAC